UACGGAGGGGGCUAGCGUUGUUCGGAAUUACUGGGCGUAAAGCGCGCGUAGGCGGACCUGCAAGUCGGGGGUGAAAGCCCGAGGCUCAACCUCGGAACUGCCUUCGAUACUGCGGGUCUCGAGUCCGGGAGAGGUGAGUGGAAUUCCUAGUGUAGAGGUGAAAUUCGUAGAUAUUAGGAAGAACACCAGUGGCGAAGGCGGCUC
rnacentral:rRNA from 1 species